rnacentral:rRNA from 1 species
AAUGAACGCUGGCGGCGUGCCUAAUACAUGCAAGUCGAACGGGGUAGCAAUACCUAGUGGCGCACGGGUGAGUAACGCGUGGAUAAUCUGCCUUAGAGUGGGGGAUAACUAGUCGAAAGAUUAGCUAAUACCGCAUAAGACCACAAGAACUGCGGUUCAAGGGGUCAAAGGUUUUUCGCUCUAAGAUGAGUCCGCGUAAGAUUAGCUAGUUGGUGAGGUAAUGGCUCACCAAGGCGACGAUCUUUAACUGGUCUGAGAGGAUGAUCAGUCACACUGGAACUGAGACACGGUCCAGACUCCUACGGGAGGCAGCAGUAGGGAAUAUUGCACAAUGGAGGAAACUCUGAUGCAGCGACGCCGCGUGAGUGAUGAAGGCCUUCGGGUCGUAAAGCUCUGUCGCAGGGGAAUAACACAAUGAAUGUACCCUGUAAGAAAGGAUCGGCUAACUUCGUGCCAGCAGCCGCGGUAACAC